rnacentral:misc_RNA from 1 species
GAUGAAGAACGUAGCGAAAUGCGAUAAGUAAUGUGAAUUGCAGAAUUCAGUGAAUCAUCGAAUCUUUGAACGCACAUUGCGCCCCCUGGUAUUCCGGGGGGCAUGCCUGUUCGAGCGUCAUUUCACCACUCAAGCCUCGCUUGGUAUUGGGCAACGCGGUCCGCCGCGUGCCUCAAAUCGUCCGGCUGGGUCUUCUGUCCCCUAAGCGUUGUGGAAACUAUUCGCUAAAGGGUGUUCGGGAGGCUACGCCGUAAAACAACCCCAUUUCUAAGGUUGACCUCGGAUCAGGUAGGGAUACCCGCUGAACUUAAGCAUAUCAAUAAGCGUAGGA